GACGAACGCUGGCGGCGUGCUUAACACAUGCAAGUCGAGCGGAGCGGCGAACGGGUGAGUAAGGCGUGAGUAACAGCCCUCCUCUCUGGGAUAACAGUUGGAAACGGAUGCUAAUAACGGCUAGUGGGGGAUGACUCGCGUCCUAUCAGCUUGUUGGGGGGGUAGAGGCCUACCAAGGCGACGACGGGGAGCUGGCCUGUGAGGGCGACCGGCCACACUGGGCUGAGUGACGGGCAAACCUCCUACGGGAGGCAGCAGGGAGUAAUGAUGCACACUGGGGGAAACCGUGACGCAGCAACGCGCGUGCGGAAUGACGGCCAUCGGGUUGAACACCACUUUCAGCCAUUAAGCGGUAGUGGCAGAAAAAGCACCGGCUAACUACGUGCCAGCAGCCGCGGUAAUUC
rnacentral:rRNA from 1 species